rnacentral:lncRNA from 1 species
AUAAAAUACAACGGAAUACAUUGAAUACAAUGAGAAAAAAAGACAGUAAAUACAAUGAACUACAAGUAAUACAACGAGAUACUUGAAUCAUAAUUAAAAAAAAAGACAAUGAAUACAAUGAAAUACAUGAAAAUACAUUGAAAUAUAUUAAUAGAAAAUCAAGUUGCUCAGCCCCAAACUCCAUCGUUUUUGUUCAACAAAAACCCUAAUUUCCGAUAAAUUCGCCGUUCACCGGAAGCCGGUAGUGAAAAACCAACCGGAUUAAAAGAGCUAAGGAUUUUGAAAGAAUCAUCAUUGGGCCACCUAGAUUUACGAAAUAACUUCAUGAACAACGUUGUUAUGGCCUUGAACCAGUCUUCUAUCCACGUCCAUCCCUGAAGAUGGGUGGAUAUAUGCUAGUUAAGAAUCUCUGCAUCUAUUAUAUGUCGGCGGCUGCUACUGUUGGUUGAGAAAUCAAUCGGAUUAAAUUUUUCAUAAAUUUUAAACCGGUUGAAGGAGAGAGUGAAC